rnacentral:rRNA from 1 species
CACGUAGGGGACGAGCGUUGUCCGGAUUCAUUGGGCGUAAAGCGCGCGUAGGCGGCUCGGAAAGUCGGGCGUGAAAUGCCGGGGCUCAACCCUGGAAAGCGGGUGGAUACUGCCGGGCUAGAAUCCGGAAGAGGCGAGUGGAAUUCCUGGUGUAGCGGUGGAAUGCGCAGAUAUCAGGAGGAACACCAAUAGCGAAGGCAGCUCGCUGGGACGGUAUUGACGCUAAGGCGCGAAAGCGUGGGGAGCAAACAGG